GCCCGGCUAGCUUAGUUGGUAGAGCAUAGGACUCUUAAUCCCAGGGUUAUGGCUUCAUGCCCCAUGUUGGAUG
rnacentral:tRNA from 1 species